GUCAUAAAGUGCCUCUGGGUUCAAUCCUCAGUACUUCCCUCCUCAAAAAAAAAAAAUUUAGAGAGCUAUAUCUCUCUUUCAGAAACUACCUUACCGUUCUUAAAGGUGCAUUAUCUUAUUGUUAAAUGGACAGGGAAUCAUAUCCUUGGUCCUUACUCAGGAAUGCCUGUCCCUUUAACAGCCUGCCAGUCCUCUGUUAAAUUGAUCUGUCUACAUGUAUUUUGAGAAAUCCAAAAUUUCACCCUUGACUUUCUUCUAAACUCUGAGGUGGAGCCCAUCUAUUUCUAGCAAUUGCUCAAUUUUGGGAAAGAAAAUUGUGACAGAAUUCAUUCCUGAUUCAGUCAGGAACAUCUAGUUUGUUAUUGCUAUUCAACCUUGUACCUGGGAUAGGUCUAAUUCAAAAGUUAGUUUAGUGAGAAUGUGAGAAUUUGACCAAUGCUUUCUUUUCAUUUUUUGCUGUCUCCCUUUUACACCUGUGUGGACCUUUCUAUCAUGGUCAUCAAUUGAUUGGUCUCAUAGAUCCCCUGGCUGCCUUUCUGCCUCCCAUGGUUCUGGCAAAGGUUUUACCACUGAGGUCUGUUCCUCAGAAAUGCCCAACUAUCCUGUUUUAGCUUUUGUUUAUUUAUUUAUUUAUUUUAACUUGGGUCUGUUCUUCUAGGGAUGACAUUCCUUCUAUUUUUCUUCCACUUGGGCAGUUUUGUUUUUAUUUUAACACCUCUUCUUUUAAAACUUCACUGAUAAAGCAUAUAAAAUGUCCUCCAUAAUGUUGGAGAAAUUCCUUGUCUCCUCCUCCAUGCCUUACAUGUUUCCUGGUCUCCCAAAACAUUUUUAAAGGAAUUUUUGAAGUUUUAAAAGGGAUUUAAAAAUUUUCUUUGGAUUGUUAUUUCAACUUUCUUAUUUUUCUUAAUGAUGUAAAAUUUCUCCAUUUGUGUCUUUUCCCAAAGUUGGGUCUCUGAUCAUUGAUUUUUUUGUGGGCCGGCUCAGUCAGUUUGGAAUCGCUCUUACAUAGAGUUCCCACAGGCACUUCCUAUCGAGUUCAUACCUAUCUCAUGGAGCUAUGGAUCAGAGACCCCUUUCUUUGAAAUUUCUAAAGUGACUUCUCCUAGGAAGAAGUAGUUGUCUUAAUUAAAACCACCCCAUGAAAUGGUCUGCAAAUUAUUGGGUGGAUAACUGAAGUUUCUCAUUGGAACUACUUGGGUUGACUUUGUAACUUUGCUGCUUUUUAGAGUAUUUCAGUUUUUGUUUUAUAGUCUACAUUAGAGGCUGCAAACUUUUUCUAUAAAGAGUCAGAUCAUAAAACUCUAGGCUUUGCAGGCCACAUGGUCUCUGUUGUGGCCAUGAACAGUACUGACGUAGUAUAGAAGCAUCUACAGACAGUAUGGAUAGAAAUCAGUCCUACUGUGUUCCAGGAAAGCUUCAUUCAUAAAUACUGAAAUUUGAUUUUUUUAUGAUUUCCAUUGUACCGUGUAUUCUUUUAAUUUGUCAGUCAUUAAAGAGUCAGAAAACAAUUCUUAGCUGACAGCUUAUACAGAGGUAGGUAGUGGGCCAGACUUGGCCCACAGGCAGGAGUCUGCCAACCCCUGAUCUGGAAGUUUAAGUUUGACAUUUCUGUUCACAGUGAUUGUACCAGAUUUCCUGUCCCACAAAGUUUUGCAACUUGUUUUGGUUUAAGAUGUCCCAAAAUACACAGCCACAUCCGCUCCUGAGUGCCUCCACCAGAUCCUUUCUAUACGUGUUUUUUGUUUGGCGGCGAGAGACAAGCUGGUUCUUUACACGCCAAUUAUAUCAUGGCCUCGUUUGGUUGCCAAGUGUCCCCACACGGCCAUCUGAUCUGGAAGCCUCUCCUUGACCAUGUCUCUCCCUUCCUAUACUGCCCUCCUAUCUCUAAGAAGAAAAGAUGGAAACAAAGAAAUGUCAAAACAUCAGCUUCAAAUAGAAAGUGCUGCUUAUGACCCCAAAGGAGCCGCUGGUGCCUUACAGAGCUUUGAAGUGGAAAUCAGAAACCCAUGCUCUGGUCCUGACUCGGUGGCCCACCAGCUCCUGUGUAACCACAAAUAAGAAUGUCCAGAGAAGUCAAGGAGCUCACAGCCUGCUGGGAAGAGAAAAUAUUUUGUGGAUCCUAACGCAGGAAACAAAGCAGACCAAGUCAUGUGACUGGUGUUCCACAGAACGCACCAGGGAUGGGCUGGUUGAGUCCAGCAUCUUCCUUUGAUGGAUACAGGAGCUACAGCCAAAGGCUCACUCAGAGGAGCAGCAGCAGGACCAGGACCGGCCCAGCUCGUCUGACGUCACGGUUUGCUCUGUAUUCACACCCCUGGGUGUAAAACAGUUCCUUUUUUGCAGCUGCUCCAUUGCCUGCUGCUGGUCCUAAGGGGGUGAUUGAGGCUCAGAAAAUGAUACUCCAGAGGAUGGCUUUGGCACGCUCAGUGCUUUGAACUCAAGGAGAGCCAAGGUCUCUGGCCUCCUCCUGCUCCCUGCUCCUGUCUCUCAUCCCUCUUUCCUUCAGUUCCCUUGGACCCUCUAGAAUACUAAGCUACAGGAAGAAAAACUCACAGCCCACGUGAACUCUGCUCCAGGCACUUGUCUUUGGGCCCACUCCUCUCCCCUAAAAAGUCAUUUAUUCUUCCUCUGAAACUGCCUACAGUGCCCACUCCCCUCUCCACUAUAAAGAAAGUAUUUAAGCUGUAACCAUCUGGUCCCUCUUUGAAUUUCAUGCUUUGUGCGACUCCUACUUGCCUGCAUGAGAAUAAACUUGCACCUUUUCUCCUGCUAA